rnacentral:rRNA from 1 species
AUUACCUCAGUAACGGCGAGUGAAGCGGUAACAGCUCAAAUUUGAAAUCUGGGUCUUUCAGGCUCCGAGUUGUAAUUUGUAGAAGAUGCUUCGGGUGCGGCUCCGGUCUAAGUUCCUUGGAACAGGACGUCAUAGAGGGUGAGAAUCCCGUAUGUGAUCGGUGGCUUGCGCCCAUGUGAAGCUCUUUCGACGAGUCGAGUUGUUUGGGAAUGCAGCUCCAAAUGGGUGGUAUAUUUCAUCUAAAGCUAAAUAUUGGCCAGAGACCGAUAGCGCACAAGUAGAGUGAUCGAAAGAUGAAAAGCACUUUGGAAAGAGAGUUAAACAGUACGUGAAAUUGUUGAAAGGGAAGCGCUUGCAACCAGACUUGCGUGUUGUCGAUCAUCCGGGGUUCUCCCCGGUGCACUCGACCUCACUCAGGCCAGCAUCGGUUUCGGUGGUUGGAUAAAGGCCUUGGGAAUGUGGCUCCUCUCGGGGAGUGUUAUAGCCCUCGGUGCAAUGCAGCCUACCGGGACCGAGGACCGCGCUUCGGCUAGGAUGCUGGCGUAAUGGUUGUAAGCGACCCGUCUUGAAACACGGACCAAGGAGUCUAACAUCUAUGCGAGUGUUUGGGUGUCAAACCCAUACGCGUAAUGAAAGUGAACGGAGGUGAGAACCCUUAAGGGUGCAUCAUCGACCGAUCCUGAUGUCUUCGGAUGGAUUUGAGUAAGAGCAUAGCUGUUGGGACCCGAAAGAUGGUGAACUAUGCCUGAAUAGGGUGAAGCCAGAGGAAACUCUGGUGGAGGCUCGCAGCGGUUCUGACGUGCAAAUCGAUCGUCAAAUUUGGGUAUAGGGGCGAAAGACUAAUCGAACCAUUGGUAACCUUGCUAGGUGGUUGGGAGGGCGCUCAAAGUGCAGCCCUAGUCCUGUAGCCAGGG